UCUCUCUGUACUCUGUCCCUCUCAACUCUCCCGUGCAUCUCUCUCCCUCUCAACCUCUCGCACCUCUCUCUCUAUCCUCCUGGACUCGCGAAGGCCAUACCACCCUCAGGUGAGGCUUGCAGCAAGUCCCGAACUCCCCCUGCACUGCGAGACCGACGGCACGGAGCAAAGCUCCGGCGAGUUUUCUCCAUUUUUCCCGUCGGGUUUUUGCUUCAGAACGGUCGUGGGUGAGCACACCCACUUUUCCGGUGAACCCGUACACCCCGAGGACUUUCCCGGUCACCUCCGACCGAGUUACGACAUUUGGAAGGACUUAGAAUCAAGGCACUUAAUCCCGGCGUGGAGACACUUCCGCAGCAGCAUCUUUGGAUCCUCUCGAUGUAGGACCCACUCCUCUAUUCAUUAAAUUUUAUCUUAAUUCUUUUUAGUGAUUAGGUUUAGUUGUAUGCUCUGAGCACGUUCCUAAAACUUUUAACUCUUUGUAUUUCAAAUUUCUAACCCUUAUUUAUUUCUUAUUCUUA